rnacentral:tRNA from 1 species
GAAAGCAUAGCUCAGUGGUAGAGUGUGUGCUGAGCACGCACGAGGUCCUGGGUUCAAUCCCCAGCACCUCCA